rnacentral:rRNA from 1 species
GACGAACGCUGGCGGCGUGCUUAACACAUGCAAGUCGAACGGUGAAGCGCCUUCCUUUUUGGUGGGUGUGGAUGAGUGGCGAACGGGUGAGUAACACGUGAGUAACCUGCCCCCUUCUUCUGGAUAACCGCAUGAAAGUGUGGCUAAUACGGGAUAUUCUGGGUCUGUCGCAUGAUGGGUCUGGGAAAGAUAUUGUUUCGGUGGGGGAUGGGCUCGCGGCCUAUCAGCUUGUUGGUGGGGUGAUGGCCUACCAAGGCGGUGACGGGUAGCCGGCCUGAGAGGGUGGACGGUCACACUGGGACUGAGACACGGCCCAGACUCCUACGGGAGGCACCAGUGGGUAUAUUGCACAAUGGGCGCAAGCCUGAUGCAGCGACGCCGCGUGAGGGAUGGAGGCCUUCGGGUUGUGAACCUCUUUCGCCAGUGAAGCAGGCCUGCCUCGUUUGUGGGUGGGUUGACGGUAGCUGGAUAAGAAGCGCCGGCUAACUACGUG